rnacentral:lncRNA from 1 species
GCCCAAUAAUUUGCUACGAGCCUGCAUGGUUCCUAUCCUACCCUCCUUUUCCUCUCUAGCCGGGUUGAAGACUUGGCAUGUCAGAAGCAGUUGGAAGCAUGCUGCUGGUGACUAGGACGGCUGACGAGGCGCACUUGCUCCGUCCGUGUCGCCUACCGGCCGAGCUGCUUCUGCAUCGAAGUGAUCGAUCUACCUGCCUUCGUCACUGGUGCACGCGUGGCCGCUGCUUUUACCGGCAUUUUGCAUCGAAUUUUCCUUUCUACGCUAGUAGACGCCAGCUCUCCUCGUGGAUGCCACGCGCCCUCGUCACCCCUUUUAUCCGAGCAUAUUCCAUGCUUUUUUGCCGGGUUCACACAUCGAGCUCUCUCCCGUGUCACUAUGGUCAAUAGUAAAAAGUCAUAUAGCAAAACCGUUGUAUAGGUUGGUUUUAAGAUUCGGUACUACGAACUUAUUUGUAUGUACUAAACUUCAGUUUUUUCUUUUAUUUUUCUUUUCAGAGUCUGUUUGGUUCGUUUGCUAAAUUUUAGCCAACUAAACUUUAGUUAUUUUAAUAAAUAAACUUUUAAAUACACUGAUUAAAAUAGUUUAGUUCCACUAAUCACCGUGACUUGAUCACUGUGAUCACUGUCACCAGAAUUUGGUUUCGUUAUGAUCAUAUAGAUGAGCGUACAUUUACUCCUAUAAACAUACACACACAUACUCUACGCUAUAAGCAUCUCUGAAGAACCAAAUUAUGCUAGCAAAUCUUGAGAUUGACGAAGUCAUGGCGCUAUUAAAUCCUGAAAUAAAUCUAGGAAAAUACGACACCUCGAUAUCGCCUACCACUGAAAGCGUAAUGUCGUUAAAUCCUAAAAUAAAUCCAGAAAAAUACGAGCACUAGUGUCAAGUCGAGAACUUGAACCGAGGUGGACAGGUUCUAUUACAAGAAAUCUAACCAGGUGAUCUAUGAUAAGUUCGCUGUUCUAGGCCUUGUUAUGAGUAUGAAAAAACGCUCUAAAACAUAAUACUUUGUGCCUUUAAAACAUACUCGCUUCAUUCAUUUAUCUCCUUCAUCUAAGC